rnacentral:lncRNA from 1 species
AAAACCUCAAGAUUUUUUUUUUUUUAAAUCUCUACAAUUCUGUUGUUUUUGGGUUUUUUUGCUGGAGGUUUUCUGCUGGAGGUGUCUGUGUACCACUGUGUGCUGUGCAUGCCUGUGCAUUGUGUGCUGAACAGUGCCUGUGAGCAUGUUCAGGUUUCUUGUUUUCUUCCAGAUCUCCCUCAGCUCUAUCCCUCUUUGCUGAGCUCUGCCAUAUAGCCAGCUCUGUUUAAUGCGGUUGACUUCAGCAGAGCUGGGCAUGAAUCUAAAUUCUUAAGAAAUAUUUCCAGGUGAUUUAUGUGUAUUUGGAAAGGUGUCAUUGAUUUCUCAACAUGAAAGCAAUGCCACAACACUAACACUAUUGUCAGGCAGUCUAACACUUCUUUAAAAGAACUGCUGUUAUUUGGUUGUGUACAGAAGACAGAACAGAGGUUCUGUUGUAGGAAAGUCUCAAGAUUAUGAGCUGGCAAGAAGAUGAGGUAAUUGUACACAUGGCACUGAAUGCACUAUCUAGGUAUUUUAAUUGCAGUCGGACCACACGGCCCACAGCCAGCUCCAGUAAGACCUCAUGUGUGAUCCUCUGCUUCCCACUGCCAAAGAAAACAUCAGUAUUCACAACCAUUAGAGGCCUUUAGAAGUAAGCAAAAUUAAUUUGGGAAGGAGCUUUCUGAGCUUUCACAGGCACCAUUUUAUAGAGACAUGGGUCUCCCAGCUUACAGUCUUCCACUAUCUUGGGGUCUUUCAGGGCAUUUCUUCCUUUCCACAUGACAUCCCCAACAGCAGAGGUUUCCCAUGUCCUGCUGCCAGGGGUAGCAUUUUACACUGGGAAUGCAUUUGAGUUUUUCCACAUGUGAUAAAAACAAAUGGAGAAUUUUAUCUCUAGGAGAAAUAAGUGACUGUUACACUUACUUGCAAGUGCUUUUCUUGGAAAGUCCAAUCGUUCAUGCUCACAUACUUCAGUUUAACAUGACUGUUAGAUUAAUUGAGCUAUUGAGUAUGUCUGGUCACAAAGUAUGUUCUAACUAUUUUCAGAAAGCCCUGGGCAGGCUGGCAGGGCCUAGGAGUGCGACCAGAUGUACUGCCAUAAAGACUGUUGGGUCUUACAAGAGAAAUAAUCUACUUGUCUGGAAAUGCCUCAAGGAACGAUGAGCAGAAAAGACACAGAAUAACUGGGAAAUGAUUUUGAAAGCAAUACUUGCAGGCCAAUUGCUCAGAGCCAAUGCCAGAAAAUAAGGCAAGACUUCUUUUAUUAAACAUGAUUGCUGUGACCUUCUCUGGUUAACCUACAGAAGGAAAAAUGAGCUGUGCACUGUGUAUGAUUUGUUGUUAUUACAGCUGGGCUGUUUUUCAGUGAACUCGUAGAAGCUGGAAUGUUUAUUUUGAUUUACUUUCAGUUUAUUUCUUUUUUUGUUUUUCAAAAAAGCAGAAGCAAAUGAAACGUCUUCUAGCAUACAUGUAGCCUUCUCUGAGCACUGUGGCUGCAACCCCCUCUUCUCAGCUCCUUUCUAUCUGCAAGCAUCACGGCCAUGCCGGAUCCUACCUCCCUCCUUCCAGGGGCACUGAGUGCUGUUCUCCUGAGAGCAGGGCUUGCAGCUGCACUGACCCUUGGGCGAAGGCUGGCAGGGUGAACUUCCUCUUCUUUGUCCUCUCCUGGGGCAAGCACCGAUAAUGUUCCCUGGAGAUCACAUAAAUGAGAUGAGGACAGCAAGUUAAUGUAUUUAUGCACAGCAGAGUCAAGAGGGCCCCACUGUGAGAUGCACACUAGCAUAGUUCCAGGCAUACUGCAGGGACACAGAUCAGAGAUAAGACCAGAGGGACAAGGAAAGUUCAACAGUGUGUGUGCUUCUGUAUUCUUGUCAGCCUGAAGUGCUGUGCAGAGGCACAGUAAUGUAUGCAGUGGAAUCAAGAAUGUAAGAAAGCCCCCACAGACCUAGUGAGCUAAUUGUGGCUUAGGUCAUUUUCUAUAUGCUUUCCAAGAUGUCUGCCUAUACUUAAUUAAAAUGCCUAAUCCAUCUCAUUUAGCCUGGAAGGUAAUGGAGGAGGGAAGUUAUUAGUCUGGUGUCUGGGAUAUUGGCAGUGCUGAUUUUUUCAUGGAUUGGAAUUCAACAGGCUUUCAUUUUCUGAAAAAUAAAGUCAUCAAUAAGACCUAAUCA